UUAGAUCCUCGUCAGAGCUAGGAAAUGAGUAUUUAGUUUGAAGAUGAUCGAGUGCUCGAAGAAGUCGCAUUAGAAACUCUAUAGGGGACUCCGGUCGAGAUUGCCUAUUAGAUGUCGGAUUUUUUUACAAACUCGUAUCUUCAUGAACAGAAUUUCACGAAACAAAUUCCAAGCUUCGAUAUUUCAAACGUUUGCACUUUCUUCGGCUCUGAAGCGAUUUUAUGUUACCAUCGCUAGAAAUCAAUUAAGUUGUUAAAAGAAAUAUAGAAAUGUCUACUCGACACUUGUCCACACUGGGAUUAAGAGAAAAAGAAUCCACAAGGUCGAUUAGAAUUUAGGGAGACUCGUCGAUGGUUUGGAUAAUUGAAUUGGUUAAAGCGAUCAUCCGAGGGAAUACGGGUUCGCGUAGUUGACACAUUGCUCGGGGAAUCUUAAACAUUUAUUAUCAGUUGCGCGUGAAAGGAAUUUUUUGGGUCUGGCCUGCUUGAUUUAUGACGGUUAUUGUGCCUUGAAUUCAAAGAACGAGGAAUGACAAGGCAGUGAUUCAGAGAUCUAUGGAGAUACACGUUGGUUUAAGAAAAUUCUCUGCACAUUUAUCUUUCUCGUUAUACGCGCAGCAUAUAGGAACGUUAUUUUUCAUGUUUCGUAAAGAUGCUGUUUUAUUCGUGUUACGGGGAUAUCGUUCAGCCGCGACGCCACAGGUACCGCGACGAAUUUCCGGCGACAAAAAGCGACCCGAUUCAAUUAGCGCUACGUUCAAUUACGAUGAACAUAAAUCAGGCCGCAAACGUAUCCGUUUGUUCAGCGUGACACGUUGCGCCGCCACGAGUAAUGUAUGCAUCGCAUUGUGGUCGAAGUCAAAGCAUUAUUAAUUCGUUCCGGCUGAGUAUUCGCAGCCCGUUACGGUGUUGUGUCGCGAAAUUAUAGCGUUAUAAAGGCCACGGAGUCCUCUUUCCCUCCUGCAAUUCCCCAUUUUAGUACUUUCGUGGUUGCCCAAUCUUUAUUAUCGCUGUCGCAAUAUUUUCCAACUUACGACGUAUAAUCGAACGUCGAUAAAAUCUGUAUUUUUUGUUGCAGUAGACAAUUUCUAACGCGUUCUUUUUUUUGAUAUUUCAAAUUUUUUAUACAGAUCCUUAAUUGCACAAAUUUCUAUAGCGUGUUGUAGCCAAGAAUUUCCGAAGCCUUUAUUUUAGUUAGUAAUUCUUGGCGUAUCCGAUUUUGUCGAGUCUAUAAUCCAACGAAAACUUUAAAAUUUUGAUACGAAAUUCGCCUCGCAGAUUCGACUUUUAUAAUCGAUCCCUCCCGAUGCCACAUUUAGCAGGUUGCCAUGUGCGAAACUGGCCCAUGCAAGUAAGUUCGAAUCAGGUCGACUCAGCCGUUUCCACGCGAGAACGCCAACUCUACUCGCCGCUUUUCCGCUUUGCUUACCUCUCCGCUCUCUCGUUGAUCGCCGCGUUAUUUUUGAACCACCACCGGUUGCAAGCCGCGAGAUGUUUGCAUAUUCCCCGCUCGUAACAAUUAGGCGGCGCCUCGAAAAUAGAAGAUUCUUGCAUCCAGCUAUUACGAGAUGCCACGCGACCAUGUUACGCAUAUGUAUUAUGAUAAUUACGGUUUAAUGCUCAGUGGAAAUAAAACCAUCAAAGGCAGAAACAUAAUCUUAAUGCACCGGCUGUCGAUUAGAUUUUACUACAUCUUAUUUGAAAUCAAUUAACUAUUUGUAACCGGUGGUCUACUCUAUACAAAGCUCUUUUAAAGUCGCUCUUUUUACUAUAUUCCAUCUCAAUAUAAAAACAUACCAGAUAUCUGACAAGUAUAGUAACAAAUCUAAAGCUUAUAAUUAUUAUUUAAUUUUCCACAAUAAAUUAUAGUAGACAAUUUCUAACGCGUCCUUGUUUUUUUGAUAUUUCAAAUUUUUUAUACAGAUCCUUAAUUGCCCAAAUUUAUAUAGCGUGCUGUAGCCAAGAAUUUCCGAAGCCUUUGUCUUAAUUUUUAAUUCUUCGUGUAUCCGAUUUUUUCGAGUAUACGAUCCAAUGAAUCUCCACGUCUUGGAUAGCACAGACGUCUAACAAGUCGAGCAACAAAUCUGAUAUUGCCACGUGUAGAAUUAUUUGUCUUUCAAAUUGGAACAAUAGUCAACAAGACGUGACAUGGGUACGAACGCAGACUGAUGGAAAUAUCGUCGGGAUUUCGUCAUCAAUGAUGCAAGGCUUUUAUUAUCGAUCCACCGUUAUACGAGUAUGUACGGGUAGUACCGGUUCGUCGAUUAUUAUUCGGAUGAAAAUUUUAUCGUGCGGAGACUACUGAAAAAUUCAUCGGCGUGCACCGCGGGCCGAUGGUUUCAAUCCAAACAACGAAUUCGCGGAACGAUCGGCGCAUGAAAAAUCUCUACAGCUAUAAUGAUAUGCGAAGAAAGCAAAUUAGACACGCGUCCACGAAUGCAGAAGGUGAACUCGCGCGUGCAGGAUGAACCUUUCACCGUGGUGGGAAACGUGGAGGCGCGUGAUAAGCAUGAAGGCCCAUCGAACAGCGGAAUGCAAACAAACGGUCGAUCACCUGUGCGGGAACAGCUGCACCCAAGAACCACGGUACACGAUGAACGCUUGAAAGGCGAGGAGAACAUGAAAGAGAAGAUUUUUGAGAACGUACUUGACCGAUCAAAGCCCCGUCGAAUCGGCUUUGUAUGCCAAACGACGAGCAAGAAGCAAGGACAGCUACGGAUAAUGGUCAAAUUUUAUAUACCCCUUAUUCCUCUUUUAAGAUUUCACCAUUUCUGUUUAUCAAUAGUGUUCGUUUACUGCACUUGGAUCGUGAUCAAGUCAAACAGACUAUCUUUGAUGUUUUAUCAUCUUUUGUUUUGAUCUACUACUUGCUAUAUGUGGAGCAUCAUGACGACUGAUGCAUUGAGUAAUUUUACAGAAUAACGCGCACUUGAUACGUUUCGAUUAUUUGAUACUGUGAAAAUGAAACGUAGAGCCUGGUAAAAAAGAAAAACACUUCGUUAGAAGAUAAAAGUAUGCCGAUAAAAAUAUUAAGAGGUACAUUGUAAAAAUUACCGUUCAGAAUAAUUUUAGUGUAUUUUCAGUAUAUUCGUCACACUUGCCGAUAAAAAUAUUAAGGGGUACAUUGUAAAAAUUACCGUUCAGAAUAAUUUUAGUGUAUUUUCAGUAUAUUCGUCACACUUGUCGAUAAAAAUAUUAAGAGGUACAUUGUAAAAAUUACCGUCCAGAAUAAUUUUAGUGUAUUUUCAGCAUAUUCACCACACUUGAUUUUAGGCACAGAAAUACAAGCAGAAAUAUUUUUAAUACCACGUAUCGCAUUCUACGGUUUGGUGUAAGUUCGGGGUAUAUUUUAACGUAGAAGGCCACAUUUCGGUCUACUUCUACCAACGCCAUCUCACUCGAGGAUUGCAUCCUCCGUUCUACGUCGUUGCUAGAAAAUUUGUGGAGAAACGAGUCGAUGAACAGUUUGAAAGAUCGAGCACGAAAUUGAGAAGGGUGGGUUUCCAUCGAAUCGAGGCGGAGGAAGGGCGAAGUAGAGUCAUUUGAAGCAGACAGCCAUUCGUAUUUUUGUUCGACGCUUCAAAUUAAUGCCACUCGCCGCGUUUGGAAAGAAAGUAGGAUCGCGGAUCCAGCUACGUGUUAAUUGACGUAACGAGACAGAGGGGUGAAUAUGGAUUGUUAGCGUCUGUCUGAGACUGAAAAUAUCGAUGGCAUCUAAUAAAAAAAAAAAAAAAAAAAAAAGAAGAAAAAGAUAGAAAAAGAAGAAGGGAGAAAGAAAGAGGAAGAAAAAAAGAUCUGGAAACGACACACCGAUGCAUGCUUCGAUCGCUCGUUACACUCGUAACGCGGAACAUGUUUAAUGAGGACCAUUUCGUCUGGACGUUAUUAUUAUAUGGAUGUUCUUUAUAUAAUCAGCGUGAAAUAAUGAAAAAAAGAAAGGAAGAAACGUUCAAAGUGUUAGGUAUUACGAUUGCAAUUUAUGAGAAACUUUGCAGCUGCAUAGGAAACACCACUGGCCGGAGUAGAGUCGUUCGAGUUUCCGUUUAUUGCAGUCUAUCUCGAUAGAUCAAACACGAUCUUGGUGCGAUCAAGAUUUAUUUCGAACUCUCCGUGUCUUCGAAGAACUUUUAACGGAAAAGAUAGAGCGACGUUUGUGACAAAGAGAUGUGAUUUUCUCGGAAAUGACUCAUCAGGGUCGAACGGAAGAAGAGAAACGACAAUACGAAGGGUGAAAAAAGGAACAUCAAACGAAAUACUGGCUAUAAAAUAAAUUUAUCUAUUACGUUUGUAAGAAUUUACAUUAGUCGCGAACACGGCUAAAGCUCGUCGACCAGCAUAUUUUCCAUUGCUUCCGCGAGAUCUAUCCGGAAUCUCUAAAAGCUGGCGAAUACACAGGUAUCCACUUUACGAUCCACAAAGAUUUUCCAGCAGAAAAGAGACGAUGUCGGAACAGUGGGAGGUUGAAAAUGGAGAAGAAACGAGAACGAUGCAAUCGUAAGGACUGCAUCUACCCGCAUCAUCCAGCUGACGGUUACAGCGCGUGUUUUAUCACGUUUACGUUUCGACCGGCAACCUUGUCGUUUCUGCUCGGAACAUAAUUCAAAAGGAUAUACGGUUUGAACAGUCAUAUCCGACGUGUGCAAGACUGGCGAGUAUCCGGGAAGUAACGCGUAAACCAGAUCGGAACUUAAUUUAGAGCUGGCAGAUUCGGGGGGACAGUCAGACGCGGUGAGCCGUGCUCCUCGAUUUUCCAAGUCGUUCGGUCGAACU